rnacentral:rRNA from 1 species
AUUGAACGCUGGCGGCAGGCCUAACACAUGCAAGUCGAGCGGAGCGGCGGACGGGUGAGUAAUGCCUAGGAAUCUGACUGGUAGUGUGGGAUAACGUCCGGAAAUGGGCGCUAAUACCGCAUACUAUCAGAUGAUCCUAGUUCGGAUUAGCUAGUUGGUGGGGUAAAGGCCUACCAAGGCUACGAUCCAUAACUGGUCUGAGAGGAUGAUCAGUCACACUGGAACUGAGACACGGUACAGUCUCCAACGGGAGGCAGAAGUGGGGAAUAUUGUGCAAUGGGUGCAAGCCUGAUGCAGCCAUGCCGCGGGUAUGAAGAAGGCCUUCGGGUUGUAAAGUACUUUCAGCGGUGAGGGGUUACCCGCAGAAGAAGCACCGGCUAACUCCGUGCCAGCAGCCGCGGUAAUUC